rnacentral:ribozyme from 14 species
UCAUGUUUCAUCUUUUUGUUCUUCUUCUUCUUUUUGUUCUUCUUCUUCUUGCUGCUCUUCUUCAUCAACUUCCUUGAUUCUACAGCUACGACUGAAUGAGAAGCAACAGAUAGAAAGAAACAUAGAAGGAACAGCAGGGCCGGUAGGGCUCCUGAUUUUUUAAGUAAAAUCAUUGCAGCAAUUUCGAAAUUCUUCUUAGAGUUAUACAAAGUAAG